rnacentral:lncRNA from 1 species
GGUUGGUAAAGUAUGAGUAUGGUCAGACCCUGGUUGUCGUCCUGAUCCUGAUAUUCCGUGAUGACGUUUUCUCAUGUAGAGAAGGGUUACUCAUGUGUGGGAAUGGUAGGAGGUCCGCGGUCAUACGAACAGAUGAUCGUUUGAGGACUAACCUCGAGUGGCAGCUGAUAAGUAAAGGCAGCUACUACACCACACCGGGUGCUAGGGACGUCGGGCUACGUGGUUCAUACCGUCCGGACAGUGUCUUAGUAGUCGGUCAUAGAUGAAUGAAC